ACGGUACUGAAAUAAAGUUGCGCCCGUAUCAAAGAUCAAAUAGGUGGCAGCAGGGCAGAUAAGAGCAGUGAAAGGCGGUGACAGCUUUAGUGCACAUGCCUGUAGCCCCACCCCCCCAACAGGGUCCUGAAUAGGGACCCCUGACAUUUGGAAGCCCACGAGAGCGGCCUGAGUCUGGGCGGGCCGUUGGGGUUGAGUGGGGUUAAAGUGGGUGAUGAUGGCUGGCCAGAUUGCUGAGGACGGAACAUAUUGCCAACACCAAACUGCAGGGGCUACAUUAAAAAAAAAUGCAAACAAGAAUUUUUUUCUGGAUUUGUACGGUCGAGAGGUGCGGCUGAGCGGCUUAAAUAUUUUGCGUGCGAGAUAACCAUUAGCCUCAGAGACACCUUAGCAGUUCAAACAAUCACAGAGGCUUCAUCUGUUCAUGGAUUUCACCACGCCAGGCAGGAUUUCAGGCACAGAGAGUCCAGGAGAAACUGCACUGGCAAUAAUGGGAAAGGCGUCCUGGGAAAAUAAACGGCAGGCAAUGAUCCCUGAAUGCAACAGAAUCCUUUGGACAAACCUCCAAAGUGUGACAGAUUUCAUACGCGGGCUGACCUUGACAAUAAUGUUUCAGUCCACAGCCGUGUCCGGUUUACAAGUUGCUGACCUUCUCAGUAGUACCACAUGGUGGAGCCAGGAAGAAUACUGCAGAAGUUGCCACAUCAUUAGGAACAAGAGGAGGAUGCCUCUUCAAUGUCAUACAGUUAUGUCAUAUGUUUUAUUUCAAUAUUCAUUUUUGAAUAAAUAGGUCUAAUUAUUGCUAUAUGAUGUUUUUUGCGUGCGUUCAAGUAGCAGUUGUUUGAAGGUUUAUAAUUAGCCGAAUGCUAUGCUAAUUUUAGCAGCCCUAUGGCCUUUCAGACAUUUAUUAAAUGGGCUGUUAUUGACAUUUUGGUGUGAGAGCAUGAGAACAGGUGCUUAGGAAUACUUUAAAAAGUGUGUUUUGACCGGUUUAAGUGUAUUUUAAUAUGUGAAGUAUAUGGGAUUUGUAAAACUUUUUGAAAAAAUCUA